rnacentral:ncRNA from 1 species
AAAACGGAAUAAUAUCGAAUAUAUUUAAUUUGUAAGAUAAAUUUUAUGUACCAUGAUGAGGGUCCUAAGGUAGCGAAAUUCCUUGGCCGUUAAAUGCGGUCCUGCAUGAAUGAACCCAUGAUACAACAGCUGUUCUCCGCGAUAGACUCAGUGAAACUGGAAUAGCAGUGCAGAUACUGUUUACCCAUAGGAAGACGGGAAGACCCU